rnacentral:tRNA from 1 species
GCGCCGGUGGUGUAAGGUGAACAUCGCUAUUUGGAAAAAGAAGAUGCGGGUUCGAGUCCCGCCUGGCGCA